UACCAGCAGCUCAAGUGGUGAUCGAUAUUAUUGGGCCUAAAGCGUCCGUAGCCGGUCUGGUAAACCCUUGGGUAAAUCGGGCAGCUUAACUGUCCGAAUUCUGAGGAGACUGCCAGACUUGGGACCGGGAGAGGUCAGAGGUACUCCUGGGGUAGGGGUGAAAUCCUGUAAUCCUAUGGGGACCACCAGUGGCGAAGGCGUCUGAUCAGAACGGGUCCGACGGUAAGGGACGAAGCCCUGGGGCACAAACCGGAUUAGAUACCCGGGUAGUCCAGGGUGUAAACGCUGCAGGCUUGGUGUUGGGGGUCCUACGAGGGCACUCAGUGUCGUAGAGAAGUUGUUAAGCCUGCCGCCUGGGGAGUACGUCCGCAAGGAUGAAACUUUAAAGGAAUUGGCGGGGGAGCACCACAAGGGGUGAAGCUUGCGGUUU
rnacentral:rRNA from 1 species